UACGGAGGGGGCUAGCGUUGUUCGGAAUUACUGGGCGUAAAGCGCACGUAGGCGGCUUUGUAAGUUAGAGGUGAAAGCCCAGAGCUCAACUCUGGAAUUGCCUUUAAGACUGCAUCGCUUGAAUUGUGGAGAGGUGAGUGGAAUUCCGAGUGUAGAGGUGAAAUUCGUAGAUAUUCGGAAGAACACCAGUGGCGAAGGCGACUUACUGGACACGUAUUGACGCUGAGGUGCGAAAGCGUGGGGAGCAAACGGGA
rnacentral:rRNA from 1 species